GUUGACAAUGUAUCGAUCGGCGGCAAAGAGGUUACUACCGGCGUUUUACCGGCGACGCCAGGAUGCAGUAUCAUGCAUUCGAACCCUAGCAGCAGACUACCCCACUCGAUUCAUGACUUCAGCUGCCACCGGAAAUAUUCCUGAUCAGAACCCUAUUCCGGUUAACCCUAUUCUUCCUAGCUCUAAUCCGACCGACUCUACCGCAUCAUCAUCUUGGAAGGAAGAAGAAAGGACACGUUUUCAGGAUACUGAUGCAAAAUCUAGCUCGAGAACAAAGCGGCCUAAAGCGCAUUACAAGGACGAAGAGGCCCUUGUACUCAGU
rnacentral:misc_RNA from 1 species